ACUGUCUGUGUGUCUGGCCUUUCUCCCUUCCCUUGCCCAUUUCCAAAGUUCCAGGACCCAAGCUACUGGGGAUGCUGCAUUCCAGAACAAUAUGGCGCUGCUGGUAAUGAGCCUCAGGCUCGCCAUCCCUGAGAGGAGUACUAGGAACAAGCACUGGAUGUCUGCCUCACCAGAUGCUCUUUAGGAAUUCAAAGAAUGGCUCUGUAUGUGGCUGAAGAGUUCUCUAUUCUGUCACUCUGUGACGAAGCAGGACCGCAGGACCCCCAUCCCUUAAAGUUCCUCACCCACGCCUGCCGAUGUGUGGUGUGUGGAUUCUCAAAGAACAUGGGCUUUGCGCAUGAGGUCAGGCCCCAAGGCACCAUGGGAGGUCAACAACAGGAUAUCGGGGCAAAGCCCCGGUGAAGAUCCAGUAUUGAUAGUGAAGCAAGCCAGAGGCCUCGAAACAAAUCAGUGACUUGUUGGAAUGAACAUUUGUGAGAACAACUUAGAAGCAGCUACCACUCUGUACCUCAGAUUCUCUGCCUCCGCCUAUGAACGGGAGGAUGAUCUUGUGUCUACCUUGUACAGUUGAUGUGGAUCAAGAAGCAAUACCUGCGAAGAUUCUAGAAUACAGCACGCACCGUCAUGCUAAUCGUAAGCUACAGGGUCUAACAAGCACCCGUGUGUGGCAGGACCAACCAGCCCUGCAGAUGUCAUUGCCUCUAAUUUCUUAACUGCUUUCCUCUCACUCUCUUUGCAGUGAUGGGGACAAUGAGCUGACUGAGCCCAACCUUAGGUCCCCGAGUUCCAAAGUGACCUCCCAUAACAUACUCAGCUUCACAGGAAUCAAGGCCCCGGGCGGAGGCCUGGCUGUGCAUGACUUUUGUGCACAGGCUCGUUCCUUGGCUUUUAUAUCUGGGGAUGGUGAUGCAGGCUUGUGACCCCGGCUCCUGGGAGGAUGGAGCAGGAGGACUGGAAGUCAAGGUCAUCCUCAGCUACACAGUAAAUGAGACCAGCGCAGGGCAUAGGAGAGUUCCAGGAAACAAAUACGCACCAGAGAGACCCACUCAGCAGCAGCCCUCUAGACAGCCCAGCGCGCCUGCUUGCUGCCUCUUUUCUUUCGCUGGCUUGAUGCAGUGGAGUUGGUAUCUGAGAUCCAGGGGAUGUUCCCAGGGAUGGUUAUCAUAAUGCAGUCACCACAGUGAGAUACUUACUCCUUAUCUCAGCUAUCUGCUCACAGAAGAAAGGCAAGCAGCAGUGGGGAGGGGUGCUUAGCCCCAAAGACAACAGGUGGAGUGGGGAGUGUGGCUUUUUGCAUAAUAAAGAGCUGGGGCAGAAAGACCCAGGCAGGAGACUCAGGGUCACUGAAGGAAGGCACAAAGGAGAUAGGACAGAGCUGAGAAGCAGGUGGUGGCACUCUUCAGUGGCUCCUCUUAGGAACUACAACAGUGGCAGCUCCAGUUCUCCCUUCUCCAGUCAGGUGUUGCCACACCAGGAAGUGCUCUGGUCAGAACUGUCAGUGGCCUUGCCUCACUAGGUCUGGAAGCGCUAACUGCCAAGUUUCCUCAAACCUGACCAUCCGGCACCACUGGACAGUGGUUACUCCUCCUCCUCACAUGGACUUCUACCACUCUCCUCUCUAUGAAUUCUGAAGGUGCAGUUCCCUUGGGUCAGUCUUUUUCCUGACUUGUCUGCGGUAACCUCACCCCUCAUCACAGCACUACAGUCACUCAAGACCACCUGUCACUGAGGACGACCUGUGCCCGGACCGUGCUACCUCAACUCUAACUGUACGUCAGGCUUCCUCCAAACUGGCCUACCUCCCUAGACAGCCUCAGCAACACAUACAGGACCCGAGCUUAUUGCUUCUCAGUCACUGUUCAGGAAACCUGUUGGAGCUACUGGGAAAUGUGUUCCGAAGACAUCUCUCUCUCUCUCUCUCUCUCUCUGUGUGUGUGUGUGUGUGUGUGUGUGUGUGUGUGUGUGUGUGUGUGUGUGUGUAAGGACAUUGCAUCCCCUAGAGCCGGGCUUACAAGAACUAUGAGCAGCCUAUGGUGAAUGUUGAGAACUGAAUUCAGCUUCUCUGGAUGAACAGUAAGCUCCUAACUGCUGGGCCACUCUGCAUCUUCACAAACCAGCACUUAUACAUUAGAAACUGCAGUGGCUGUCUGAUGCCUUCCUUCUUUCCACCUUUUCUCGUCCAGUUUUCUCUCAUGAGCAAGUCUGCAGACAUUUUGACAGUAUCCAGCACAAAAUUCGUUCUGAGUCCUGGGUUUCUGAGAGAAAUUAUGAUUGUUGUUACUUACUGAUAUUUGGCAAAUAGACUAUUUAUACUUUUGACUCUCAGUAUUUACUUGUCUAUAUCAGCACAGGUUUUCUUCCCGUUUUUAUGAGAUCUCAGUCUGUAGCCCAGGCUUCAAACACAUGGAGAUGUGAAAUUACCUGUCGUUAUAUAAGAGGACAACACUGAAAGUGACUCAAACCUAAGCCUCCACUCCUCCAUGCAUUCAAUAGCUAUCACUUGGACCCACUAUCAGUAAGUCAUGGCGCUAAGUCAGUUUUGAUAAAAGAAAAGUCUGUACUACUUAAGAAAAUUCCUUUACAAAAAGCAAACUCAUUUUCUCAGUUAAUGGAUUCUGCAGACACUGGAAAGACAUUCUUAAAUAGCUAAAAACAGGUCUGGAGCGAUCAAAGUCUCAGCAGUUAAGACCACCAGCUGCUCUUCCAAAGGACCCAGGUUAGAUUCCCAACACCCUUGUGACUCAGUCUUCUAUAAACUCAGUUCCAGGGAAUCUGAUGGCUUCUCUGGUCUCCAAAGGCAUCAGGCAUGCACAUGUGCACAGACAUUCAUGCAAAACUACGCCCAUACUAAUGAAAUAUAACAAUAAAUAAGUUAAAAUAACCAGGCUACUUAGCAAAGGCCAUGUACGAGUGUCUCAGAUGAGAAACGAAGAUCGUAUAUAUGGAAA
rnacentral:sRNA from 1 species